rnacentral:lncRNA from 1 species
CGGACACGAAGGAGCGCUCGCCUCAGAAGGGAUGUCACAAUUUCCUGAGACGGAGGCAUCUCUGCACCACAAAGGAGACUGCGGCACUAUGCAGCCUGAACAGCACGACAAAGCAUCUGAUCUGCCUGCUUUGACAAGAUGUGGCUGGGCCUGCAGAGAGAGUGUAAGCAGACUACUGUGUUGCUGAUCAGUGCUGGUGCUGAUCUCUACGUCUGAGUUGGCCUCACAACGUCCAGGCACCACUGUGCUUUGCUUCAUUGACAAGGUAAUAUGAUAUAGACACCUUGCA